ensembl:lncRNA
GUGUUUUGUUUUAUUGUCGCCAUUCUCCGUGAUUUGAAGGGGGUGGAGACUUGAGUCCUGAAGAGCGUGCGCCCACAGUAACGCAGCAGCAGUAAACAUGGCGGCCUCCUUGCUGAAGAUCGGACGGCUCGGCGCACUGAAGUGUGUGCAGGCGGAGAGCUGGGCGGUCCUGAGACGCGCUCCAUCCUCUGCACUCAGUUCCAAGUCUGGAGACAACAAGAAUUCCAAGAAAAAGUCAAAGGUGGCGUCUCGGACCUACUUUGAUCUAGAGAAAAUGGUCCAGCACAGAACGCUGGUGGAUUUCCCCAAGAAGGAGAUCUUGGCGGCCGCGGCCGAAGUAGCUGCUAAAUCACCGGUGGCCGAGCCCGUAGCCGAGGUCGCCGCUGCCACCGCCACUGCCACAGAAGCAGCACCUGAGGCCACUGUCGCCGCCGCUGAAGCAGUCGCAGAAGCCUCACCUGUUGUAGAAGUCGCUGCCCCCGUUGUUGAGGCCGCUGCCCCUGAAGCUGCCGCCCCUGUUGUUGAGGCCGCCGCCCCUGAAGUUGCUCCAGUAGAAGUCGCUGCCCCUGUUGUUGAGGCUGCUGAAGUUGCCCCUGUUGUUGAGGCUGCUGAAGUUGCUCCCGUAGAAGCUGCUGCUCCUGUUGUUGAGGCUACCCCAGCAGAAGUUGCUCCAGUUGUUGAGGCUGCCGCAGCUGAAGUUGCCCCCGUUGUUGAGGCAGCUGAAGUUGCCCCCGUUGUUGAGGCUGCUCCCGUUGUUGAGGCUGCCGCAGCUGAAGUUGCUCCCGUUGUUGAGGCAGCCGCAGCUGAAGUUGCUCCAGUAGACGUCGCUGCCCCAGUUGUUGAGGCUGUCGCAGCUGAAGUUGCUGAAGUUGCCCCAGUUGUUGAGGCCGCCGCAGCUGAAGUUGCCCCAGUUGUUGAGGCUGUCGCAGCUGAAGUUGCCCCCGUUGUUGAGGCAGCUGAAGUUGCCCCAGUUGUUGAGGCUGCCGCCCCUGAAGUUGCUGCAGCUGAAGUUGCUCCAGUAGAAGCUGAGGUUGCCCCCGUUGUUGAGGCUGCCGCAGCUGAAGUUGCCCCUGAAGUGGUUGCAGAAGCCCCUGCUGCAGAAGCUGCCCCGGCUGUUGAAGCAGCUGCAGAAACUGCCCCUGCUGUAGAAGCAGCUGUCGAAGCAGAAGCCCCAGCUGUUGAUGCCCCAGUUGUUGAAGCUGCUGCUGUUGCGGAAGUUGUCGUGGAGGCUGUUGAAGCGGAAGCCGAAGCUACCCCAGCUGUUGAAGCUGCUGCUGUUGAAGCAGAAGCUCCAGCUGUGGCAGAAGUUGUCGUGGAGGCUGUAGCACAGGCAGUGGCCGAAGCUGUGGCAGAAGCUGUCGUGGAAACCCCAGUGGAGGCUGUGGCAGAGGCAUUGGCUGACGCUGUGGCGGAAGCUGUGGAAGUUGAAGCCGCCCCUGUUGCAGAGGACCUGGUGGAGGCAGCUGCCGAUGGUACACCUCUCUCUCACACACACACACACACACACACACACACACCUUGCCCCAUUCUGGUGAACACACACACACACACAUACCAACGCUUCAUGGUAUUCACACACUCCUUCCUUCGUCCUUCACCCACCCACCCAC